GGUAAACGCUGGCGGCGUGCCUAAACAUGCAAGUCGAACGGUGUCCUUCGGGCGACAGUGGCAGACGGCUGAGUAACGCGUGGGUGACGUACCUGCUUGUGGGGAAUAACUGCCCGAAAGGGUGGCUAAUACCGCAUACGCCCGCUGAUUCGGUUUCAGUGGGGAAAGCUUCGCGAGAGGUGCAGAUGGAGCGGCCCGCGUCCGAAUUAGCUGGUUGGUGGGGUAACGGCCUACCAAGGCGACGAUCGGUAGCUGGUCUCAGAGGAUGAUCAGCCAGACUGGGACUGAGACACGGCCCAG
rnacentral:rRNA from 1 species